rnacentral:tRNA from 1 species
UCCCUGGUGGCUCAGUUGGUAGAGAACCCGCCUGCAAUGUGGGAGACCUGGGUUUGAUCCCUGGAUUGGGAU